AGCGUCUGUCUUGUAAACAGAAGGUCGCAGGUUCGAUCCCUGUAAGUGGCA
rnacentral:tRNA from 1 species